CACUCUUUGUUAAGUGAAUCACUGGAGACUCUUAAAUUAGCUAACUGUCAGGGUUCUGGCAGUUACUCCAGUUAAAUCAUGAGCCUCGAGCCACGCUCCCAACGCUAAAGAGAAUUUAUUUGAAGCUACCAUUUUACGUCCGGCACUAACCUGGGUGUAGCCAACUCCGAGAUAUGUAAUUCACUGUCACCCUUGAUUCUGCUUUCCCCCCUACCCCUCUGGGUGUAUCAUACAACGAAGAACUUCCAUAGCCAAGAGUCAUCAAUCAUGCUCUCCAAUUAUUUUUUGCACGGCAGAAGCUUCGGUCAUCUAAUCAGUUUUUGAAGAAAAUAUGAAUGGAACGUACUUUCGAUUCCACACUGCCGCCGGCUCUUUGAAACUCCACCACCCACUUCUUUCUAUUGUCAACUAUAAAAAGCUUAUACAAAAUAUUUUAGGAAAUAGCCAUUUUCAGUGU